CAUACCUCGGCAAAACCGACCAGCCAGAAACUUGGAGGAAAUGGAUGCACGCCCGGCCUAAAUAAGUAGCAUCAACGUUGAUUAAUUACUGAAGGCGAGGAAAAUAAGCCAACCCGGGACGCUCCUCAAGUGCGGUCAACAUCCUUGAUAGAAACUGCCAGUAUGACAGUGAGAAAAUAGCCAGUUCAACCAUCUUUCUUCACUUCACUUCAC